rnacentral:tRNA from 1 species
GGGCGAUUAGCUCAGUCGGUUAGAGCGCGUCUCUGAUAAGGACGAGGUCGAUGGUUCGAAUCCAUCAUCGCCCA